GAUUGAGUAAAAUAUACAAAAAGAUGUUAUGAUUAUAUAGUAAAUUAUAUUCUUUAAAAUGAAGAAGGAGAAUUUAUAAGACAAAUACAAAGAUAAUUAUCAAAUUCAAAAAAAAUAAUGAAGAAGGAGAAGAAGUUAUAGGACAAAUGUAAAGGUAGUUAUCAAAUUCAAAAAAACAAAUCAAUUAAUUAUAAAUAGAAGUUGAGGAUAAUUAAGAAAUAAA
rnacentral:lncRNA from 1 species